rnacentral:rRNA from 1 species
GACGAACGCUGGCGGCGUGCUUAACACAUGCAAGUCGAACGGAAAGGCCCUGCUUUUGUUGGGUUCUCGAGUGGCGAACGGGUGAGUAACACGUGAGUAACCUGCCCUUGACUUUGGGAUAACUUCAGGAAACUGGGGCUAAUACCGGAUAUGAGCUCCUGCUGCAUGUUGGGGGUUGGAAAGUUUCGGCGGUUUGGGAUGGACUCGCGGCUUAUCAGCUUGUUGGUGGGGUAGUGGCUUACCAAGGCUUUGACGGGUAGCCGGCCUGAGAGGGUGACCGGCCACAAUGGGACUGAGAUACGGACCAGAAUCCUACGGGAGGCAGCAGUGGGGAAUAUGGCAGAAUGGGGGGAAGCCUGAGGCAGCAACGCCGGGUGCGGGAUGACGGGCUUCGGGUUGUAAACCGAUGUGGACUGUGACGAAGAGGGAGUGACGGUAAUGGGUAAAGAAGCACCGGCUAACUACGUG